UCCUCCGGUAUAGUGGUUAGUGCGCUUGUCUUCCAACUCUAUGAACGCGGGUUCGAUCCCCCGCUCGGAGGAA
rnacentral:tRNA from 13 species